rnacentral:rRNA from 1 species
GUGCCUUCGGGAACUCUGAGACAGGUGCUGCAUGGCUGUCGUCAGCUCGUGUUGUGAAAUGUUGGGUUAAGUCCCGCAACGAGCGCAACCCUUAUCCUUGUUUGCCAGCGAGUAAUGUCGGGAACUCCAGGGAGACUGCCGGUGAUAAACCGGAGGAAGGUGGGGACGACGUCAAGUCAUCAUGGCCCUUACGAGUAGGGCUACACACGUGCUACAAUGGCGCAUACAGAGGGCGGCCAACUUGCGAAAGUGAGCGAAUCCCAAAAAGUGCGUCGUAGUCCGGAUUGGAGUCUGCAACUCGACUCCAUGAAGUCGGAAUCGCUAGUAAUCGUGGAUCAGAAUGCCACGGUGAAUACGUUCCCGGGCCUUGUACACACCGCCCGUCACACCAUGGGAGUGGGCUGCAAAAGAAGUGGGUAGUUUAACCUUCGGGAGGACGCUCACCACUUUGUGGUUCAUGACUGGGGUGAAGUCGUAACAAGGUAGCGCUAGGGGAACCUGGCGCUGGAUCACCUCCUUAUACGAUGAU